rnacentral:lncRNA from 1 species
AAAAAGUUAUUCAGUGCUAUAGUUGGAUGUCAAAGACAUCUAUUUUUAAAACAAAACGAUCGGUCUUUUGAUGUCAUUAUUUAUCUAUUCCUAUAGAUUUUAUAAAUUAUAUUAUAAUUAUAUAUAUACUACAAUACAAAUUGCAUAAAAAAUGAAUAGAGAUGGGAAAAUCGCAUAAAAUGCUUCUAUUCUAGAACAAAAAAACAAUAUAACCCCUUUUUUAUUUAUAUUCCAUACACUAUCCAGAAAAAAAAAAGAAGAAUUUGUAUUUAAUUUAUUGGUACCUUUCUUUUUUAUAUCUCCAUUCAAAUCUAUAGGAUAGAAUAGGAUCUAUAUCUAUUAUGAUAUAUAAAUCGAAUUGAUGAAAUCAAAAAAACGCAAAAAAAGUCUUUCUUUUUCUAUCUACGCCCAGUUUUUUGUUGUCUUACAUUUAUAAUUUAUACAUCUCCAUUUAUACAUGAAAACUACAUCAAAAUAAAAAGUGUAAAACCCAUUUUAUCUACCUAUGCAAACUUGAAUUUGAUUUUUUCCAUAAAUUGGUCAAGCUCGAAGAGAGGGUAUGCCUAAUUUUCAUUUUCAACCAAAUUCGAAUGAGACUCGUAGUUAAUCUGUUAAAGGAUACAUAAUUUUGAAAAAAAAAGAAUAUUUUAUUAUAUUAAUAGUCAUUUUUCUUUUAAUUAUAUGUAAAUAUAAAGAAAAUAUCGGAUAGUCUUUCCUACAAGAAAAGGUUCAUUUAUUGUAGUGGAAGACAAUCAAUCAGUUCCGCGAUGAAAAUGAACUAGUUAAUAAGUUCGAAUAAACAAACUCAAAUAAUUCGUUUUUCUUUUAAGUUCUAGGACAUCCUAUGAUUUAUAUCAUACUUUUUUGGGGGGAAUUCUUUGUAUUUUUGAUCGAUG